rnacentral:tRNA from 1 species
GGCUCGUUGGUCUAGGGGUAUGAUUCUCGCUUUGGGUGUGAGAGGUCCCGUGUUCAAAUCCUGGACGAGCCC